AUAACUACCCCAAUACUCUAAAUACAUUAGGACUUCCAGAAGAAGAAAAAUAGUUGUUGCAUAUUCUAAAUCACAAGAAAUGGCAGCAAACAAGUUUUCAUCUCUUUUGUUAUUUUCAUUGAUGGUAUCUACGUUUAUCCUUUUACCAAUGGCUUCAGGACAAAUCCGUAUAUGUCCCGUAAGGAGACCACCUUGUAAGGUCAGCCAAGGAUGUAUACAAAACUGUAUAAAAUUAGGGUACAUGACAGGAGGCUGUGAAGAAAAAUAUUCAAGUAUAUAUUGUUGUUGUAUACACAAAAUGGAAUCUCGGGAUAAUAAUCAUCAUUCACCUAGUGCACACUAGUUACAUUUGUUGAUGUUUCUCUGGUUGACAACCAAAUAAUUAUUAUCAAAAUUAAUAAAAUUAUUUUCAAAACAAUCUAUUAAAGAUAUGGUGGGCAUAGUGAACAAUUUCUUCUAUGUCUUAAAUUGAAAAUGUUAUUUUUAAAUCGUUCUUAGCAAAUACAAUUGGGUAGAUUGGCAAGCUCUUUAGAAGUGCCGUAGGAUAUUUCUACGGCCUAAAUUAUUUCUAAAGUAUAAUUUUUUACCAAACAUGCUUUGUAAAGAAUUCUUAAAGCUACAGAUUUUUCUUUUCAUUUUGUUUAUGUUUAGCUGUGGAAAGCAAUAAACCUAGAUCACUUAUUUUUUGCUUUAGAAAAUUUAUAUGUAAGUCAUUAAAUAUUUUCAAACCUACAGCUAAAAUCCUACAACAAAAUUAUUUACAUCCACAAAAAAAAAAAUUUACAGUCUUAUUUUUACAGCAAAAAAAUAUAAAGCUACAGCUACUUCCAAUCAUCCCCAAUAAAAAA